AUGAACGCUGGCGGCGUGCCUAAUACAUGCAAGUCGAGCGAACAGAUGAGGAGCUUGCUCCUCUGACGUUAGCGGCGGACGGGUGAGUAACACGUGGAUAACCUACCUAUAAGACUGGGAUAACUUCGGGAAACCGGUGCUAAUACCGGAUAAUAUAUUGAACCGCAUGGUUCAAUAGUGAAAGACGGUUUUGCUGUCACUUAUAGAUGGAUCCGCGCCGCAUUAGCUAGUUGGUAAGGUAACGGCUUACCAAGGCAACGAUGCGUAGCCGACCUGAGAGGGUGAUCGGCCACACUGGAACUGAGACACGGUCCAGACUCCUACGGGAGGCAGCAGUAGGGAAUCUUCCGCAAUGGGCGAAAGCCUGACGGAGCAACGCCGCGUGAGUGAUGAAGGUCUUCGGAUCGUAAAACUCUGUUAUUAGGGAAGAACAAAUGUGUAAGUAACUAUGCACGUCUUGACGGUACCUAAUCAGAAAGCCACGGCUAACUACGUG
rnacentral:rRNA from 1 species